UUCCAGCUGAUGAGUCUCAAAUAAGACGAAACGCGCGUCGAAAUGGAU
rnacentral:hammerhead_ribozyme from 1 species